rnacentral:rRNA from 1 species
UACGGGGGGGGCAAGCGUUGUUCGGAAUUACUGAGCGUAAAGGGCUCGUAGGUGGCCAACUAAGUCAGACGUGAAAUCCCUCGGCUUAACCGGGGAACUGCGUCUGAUACUGGAUGGCUUGAGUUUGGGAGAGGGACGCGGAAUUCCAGGUGUAGCGGUGAAAUGCGUAGAUAUCUGGAGGAACACCGGUGGCGAAGGCGGCGUCCUGGACCAACACUGACACUGAUGAGCGAAAGCCAGGGGAGCAAACGGG